GACGAACGCUGGCGGCGUGCUUAACACAUGCAAGUCGAACGGAAAGGCCCUGCUUUUGUGGGGUGCUCGAGUGGCGAACGGGUGAGUAACACGUGAGUAACCUGCCCUUGACUUUGGGAUAACUUCAGGAAGCUGGGGCUAAUACCGGAUAGGAGCUCCUGCUGCAUGGUGGGGGUUUGAAAGUUUCGGCGGUUGGGGAUGGACUCGCGGCUUAUCAGCUUGUUGGUGGUGUAGUGGCUUACCAAGGCUUUGACGGGUAGCCGGCCUGAGAGGGUGACCGGCCACAUUGGGACUGAGAUACGGCCCAGACUCCUACGGGAGGCAGCAGUGGGGAAUAUUGCACAAUGGGCGGAAGCCUGAUGCAGCAACGCCGCGUGCGGGAUGACGGCCUUCGGGUUGUAAACCGCUUUCGCCUGUGACGAAGCGUGAGUGACGGUAAUGGGUAAAGAAGCACCGGCUAACUACGUG
rnacentral:rRNA from 1 species